UCUGGGAAGCCACUUGGGCGAAUCGCAGCCGAGCGACGCCGCUCCGGGCUCCGGCGGCCGCUAGCCCAGAUUUUCCCUCUAGUGCUCGUCAUAGUUCCUGGCGCUCGGCUCUCUCAUUUCCAGUUCGGGAGCCGGGAGUCGUUCACGUCGCGGGAUGUGUCGCCGCAGCCGGCCGGCCGCUAUUUAUGAACCGCGCCUUGUGCAAGUUGUUAAUUAAUUUUAGACGCGGCUUUUCGUCCCGAUUCGUAAUCGCGGGUUUUUUGUGGUGAAAGAUUCGCCUCGUGCCUCCGCUCUUACGCGCGGACUCGUGUCGCUUCGGUAUGUGCCCCCAAGAAGUGAUUUUCCCGCCCAAAAGCAGGAUAUCGAUCCUAGGAUUUUAUGACAUUAACUCCCGGAAAAACGUUGGAACAGAAUAAAUAAUCUUCCGUCCUAUAAGGUCAAUGGAGUCAAUCGCUGCCUAUCCACUCACGUUAAAGCGAUGUUUGGCCGCAAAAAAACCACCAGGAGAGCCACGCCCACGAUUCCGGUCACAUCUUGCUACGAUUCCUUAUCAUUCUUUGGCCCAGUGAUUAUUUUAUACAGCUGGACGGAGAACUGAUAAGGGCUUGUGGAAGGUGGUUCAUCACAUAUCAGCCUUGGUGAACUGUACCCACUGAUCAUUGCAAUGAACAGCUUGUGUCAUCUAUACAUAGAUACUUACUCAGCAAGCUUCAUAACAUACCAAUCGGAUGCGGAGAUGAAUACCCACUACCGGAUGAUACGAUAAACGUAAGAGGAUAAACGAAAAGAUUUUUUUUACUUUUGGAAGUAGAUGUAUUCUGUUGAAUAAAUCGUAAUAAAUUACCUCAUGAAAAUAUAUACAAAUGAGGAAUUAUUUUUAGUAAAAACAUGUUAAAAGGUUUGAAUGUUUGUAGAUUGGAGUGUUAUUAAUAUUUUGUAUAGGUAAUUUAACAAUUCGGAGGCAGUCCAUGUGUUCAAGGAAUAAAAUUACCUAUAUGUUUUAAAUUUGUAAAUAUUACCUAUUGAUUAGAUAAAUCCGACUUUUUUUGCUGUAAAUAAAUUCACAAUUUGCUUUUAA